rnacentral:rRNA from 1 species
GACGAACGCUGGCGGCGUGCUUAACACAUGCAAGUUGAACGGAAAGGCCCUGCCUUUGUGGGGUGCUCGAGUGGCGAACGGGUGAGUAACACGUGAGUAACCUGCCCUUGACUUUGGGAUAACUUCAGGAAACUGGGGCUAAUACCGGAUAGGAGCUCCUGCUGCAUGGUGGGGGUUGGAAAGUUUCGGCGGUUGGGGAUGGACUCGCGGCUUAUCAGCUUGUUGGUGGGGUAGUGGCUUACCAAGGCUUUGACGGGUAGCCGGCCUGAGAGGGUGACCGGCCACAUUGGGACUGAGAUACGGCCCAGACUCCUACGGGAGGCAGCAGUGGGGAAUAUUGCACAAUGGGCGGAAGCCUGAUGCAGCAACGCCGCGUGCGGGAUGACGGCCUUCGGGUUGUAAACCGCUUUCGCCUGUGACGAAGCGUGAGUGACGGUAAUGGGUAAAGAAGCACCGGCUAACUACGUG